rnacentral:rRNA from 1 species
AUGCAGUCGAGCGGAACGAGUUAUCUGAACCUUCGGGGGACGAUAACGGCGUCGAGCGGCGGACGGGUGAGUAAUGCCUAGGAAAUUGCCCUGAUGUGGGGGAUAACCAUUGGAAACGAUGGCUAAUACCGCAUAAUGCCUACGGGCCAAAGAGGGGGACCUUCGGGCCUCUCGCGUCAGGAUAUGCCUAGGUGGGAUUAGCUAGUUGGUGAGGUAAUGGCUCACCAAGGCGACGAUCCCUAGCUGGUCUGAGAGGAUGAUCAGCCACACUGGAACUGAGACACGGUCCAGACUCCUACGGGAGGCAGCAGUGGGGAAUAUUGCACAAUGGGCGCAAGCCUGAUGCAGCCAUGCCGCGUGUGUGAAGAAGGCCUUCGGGUUGUAAAGCACUUUCAGUCGUGAGGAAGGUGGUAUUGUUAAUAGCAGUAUCAUUUGACGUUAGCGACAGAAGAAGCACCGGCUAACUCCGUGCCAGCAGCCGCGGUAAUACGGAGGGUGCGAGCGUUAAUCGGAAUUACUGGGCGUAAAGCGCAUGCAGGUGGUUUGUUAAGUCAGAUGUGAAAGCCCGGGGCUCAACCUCGGAAUAGCAUUUGAAACUGGCAGACUAGAGUACUGUAGAGGGGGGUAGAAUUUCAGGUGUAGCGGUGAAAUGCGUAGAGAUCUGAAGGAAUACCGGUGGCGAAGGCGGCCCCCUGGACAGAUACUGACACUCAGAUGCGAAAGCGUGGGGAGCAAACAGGAUUAGAUACCCUGGUAGUCCACGCCGUAAACGAUGUCUACUUGGAGGUUGUGGCCUUGAGCCGUGGCUUUCGGAGCUAACGCGUUAAGUAGACCGCCUGGGGGAGUACGGUCGCAAGAUUAAAACUCAAAUGAAUUGACGGGGGCCCGCACAAGCGGUGGGAGCAUGUGGUUUUAAUUCGAUGCAACGCGAAAGAACCUUACCUACUCUUGACAUCCAGAGAACUUUCCAGAAAAUGGAUUGGUGGCCUUCGGGAAACUCUGAAAACAGGUG